UUGGUUUCUAGGAGGAAUCCAAAGAGGAAGCCAACAAAUCAUGAGGAUUCUAAGAGGCUGAUGGAAGCUAUAAUGGUUCAACUCAAUUAGAUUGGGAGAGUUUGAAGGGAGGCAUUUUCCAGUGCUGUCUCAUUAAGCAGAUGACCUGCAGACAUUGUCAGCACAACCCAGCCAAGGUGAUUGAUCACCAGAGAAUAGAGAUAUUUAGCAGAAAUCCUGGCCAGCAAGAGGACAUACUUGAUUUUUCUUUUUCCAUCAAUACAGACAUAAUGAUAAUCACCAGAAACACAGAGGCUGAUAUUUGGCUGUCAAUUGAUGGAGGUGACGUGGAGGUAAAUCCUGAGCUGGAAUCAACCGAGGACAGAAGGACAAGAAAUGCAAAAGUGAGGAGGAAAACAACGACAGAAAAGAGCUUCCUAAGCAGAAUGAGCCAGUUUAAUAUAAACAAACACAUUUUAAAAAAGAAAAUGUUUCUUGUUUUUUGUUUUUUCGAGACAGGGUUUCUCUGUGUAGCUUUUGAGCCUAUCCUGGCACUGGCUCUGGAGACCAGGCUGGCCUUGAACUCACAGAGAUCCACCUGCCUCUGCCUCCCGAGUGCUGGGAUAUAA
rnacentral:lncRNA from 1 species